GACAGAGGGUGCAAACGUUGUUCGGAAUCACUGGGCGUAAAGGGUGCGUAGGCGGGUUCUUAAGUCAGAGGUGAAAUCCUGGAGCUCAACUCCAGAACUGCCUUUGAUACUGAGAGUCUUGAGUCCGGAAGAGGAGAGUGGAAUUCCUGGUGUAGCGGUGAAAUGCGCAGAUAUCAGGAAGAACACCCGUGGCGAAGGCGGCUCUCUGGUACGUGACUGACGCUGAGACGCGAAAGCGUGGGGAGCGAACAGG
rnacentral:rRNA from 1 species